rnacentral:rRNA from 1 species
UACAGAGGGUGCGAGCGUUGUUCGGAAUUAUUGGGCGUAAAGGGCGCGUAGGCGGCGCCACAAGUCACUUGUGAAAACUCUGGGCUCAACCCAGAGCCUGCAGGCGAAACUGUGGUGCUGGAGUAUGGGAGAGGUGCGUGGAAUUCCCGGUGUAGCGGUGAAAUGCGUAGAUAUGCGGAGGAACACCGAUGGCGAAGGCAAUCCCCUGGACCUGUACUGGACGCUCAUGCACGAAAGCGUGGGGAGCAAACAGG